rnacentral:rRNA from 1 species
UGGGGAAUAUUGCACAAUGGGCGCAAGCCUGAUGCAGCCAUGCCGCGUGUGUGAAGAAGGCCUUCGGGUUGUAAAGCACUUUCAGCGAGGAGGAAGGUGGUGGACUUAAUACGUUCAUCAAUUGACGUUACUCGCAGAAGAAGCACCGGCUAACUCCGUGCCAGCAGCCGCGGUAAUACGGAGGGUGCAAGCGUUAAUCGGAAUUACUGGGCGUAAAGCGCACGCAGGCGGUUUGUUAAGUCAGAUGUGAAAUCCCCGGGCUCAACCUGGGAACUGCAUUUGAAACUGGCAAGCUAGAGUCUCGUAGAGGGGGGUAGAAUUCCAGGUGUAGCGGUGAAAUGCGUAGAGAUCUGGAGGAAUACCGGUGGCGAAGGCGGCCCCCUGGACGAAGACUGACGCUCAGGUGCGAAAGCGUGGGGAGCAAACAGGAUAGAGUACCCCUGGUAGUCCACGCUGUAAAACGAUGUCGAUUUUGGAGGUUGUGCCCUUGAGGCGUGGCUUCCGGAGCUAACGCGUUAAAUCGACCGCCUGGGGAGUACGGCCGCAAGGUUAAAACUAAAGUAAUUGAC